rnacentral:rRNA from 1 species
UUUACCCACACAUGGGAUCAAUAGGAUACCAUAACGAUGAAGGUCGUAAUAGAAUACGAAAGUAUAUUAUUUACCUAAUUAAUAUAUUUAUAAUGUAUUGAUAACCCUUUGAACUUAAGCAUAUCAUUAAAAGGAGGAAAAGAAACUAACUAGGAUUUCUUUAGUAGCAGCGAGUGAACAAGAAAUAACCCUCCAUUGUAAUCCUUAAUUGGAGUUGUAAAUGGUUUAUUCUAUUAAUUAUAUUUAUAGAGAAUAUUAUAUUCGUUAUUAAUAGAAUAGAAUAAUGUACUUGAGUAGAGCUGCUUGGUAGUGCAGUUUGAAUAAAGGUAGAAUGAAAUAUCUAAGGUUAAAUAUAAUGGUAUACCGAUAGAAAAUAAGUACUGCGAAGGAACUUGUGAAAAUGUGUGGAGUUUAGCCUUAUUUUUAAGGACCCGUCUUGAAACACGGACCAAGGAGAUUAUAAUUAUAGCAAGAUAAAAAUUAAAUUUUUUAAUCUUUAUUAACUUGAUUAGUUAUAAUUAUAAGACCCGAAACACAGUGAACUAUACAUGUUCUGGUUGAAGAUAAGCAACAGUUUAUUGGARGACCAUAAUCAUUCUGACGUGCAAAUCGAUGAUUUAAGAUGUGUAUAGUGGCGAAAGACCAAUCGAACUGUGUGGUAGCUGGUUCACAGCGAAAUGUCUCUCAGGACAGCAGAUUAUUAUUAUAUAGGACAUAGAUGUAGGACACUGUUAUAGUUUUUUAACUAUGAGAAAUCUUUAAUUCUAUGGAAUUAUAUAAAUUAAAUUUAUAUAAUGAAUCUAUUGUAUAACUAGUGGGCACAUGAUUGUAAGAAUGAUGUGCAAAAAGGGAUGAACCUUAUGAAACAUUAAAUAUUCUAAAUAGUAGAUAUUAUACCAUAAAUAUGAUGAAUACAUUGAGACAGUAGGGCGGUUGUUAUGGAAGUAGAAAUCCGCUAAGAAACGUGUUACAACGUACCUACCGAAUGUAUUAUUGUAUAAAAUGGAAGAAGAUUACUACUUUUAUGAGAUGUUUCUAAUAAAUAUUUAGGUAGCUGUGCAAUUUGUUUGUAUUGAAGUAUAUAUGUGAGUAUAUAUAGAAGAAACAAAUGACCCGAUCUUGGAGGCAGUAACAAUAUAUUUGUAUAGAUAUAGACUAGGGUUUUCAAUUAUUAUUGAAGUGAAUCGGUGUUAUUUAUAAAAACAAAAAAGAUUAAUAAUUCUUUAUUAAAUUAUUAUAAGGUAACUUGAUAAUGACAGUAUAUUUCAAUAAAUUUAAGAUAAAUGAAUUAAAUUUAAUUUGAACUAUGGAUUGUCAUGAUAAGAAAUAGUUAAUUAUAUAUACCUGAUAAAAAUAAUUUUAACCGUACCUAAACCGCAUCAGGUGUCUUUGUAUCAUAACAAAUAUUUUAAAUUAAAGUAAGUAAGGGAAUUCGGCAAAUUAGAUCUGUAACUUUGGGAUAAAGAUUGGCUCUAGCAUGCUAGAACUUUUACUAUGUAAGGAAUCUGACUGUUUAUUAAAAACAUAGCUUUUUGUAUUUACAAGAAGUGAAUUCUGCCCAGUGCAUUUAUUGUUAAAGUUGUGUAAGCGAAUGUAAACGGCGGGAGUAACUAUGACUCUCUUAAGGUAGCCAAAUGCCUCGUCAUUUAAUUGGUGACGCGCAUGAAUGGAGCAACGAGAUUCCUACUGUCCCUACUUACAAUUUUGUGAAACCACGAGACAAGGGAACGGGCUUGUUAUUUAUCAGCGGGGAAAGAAGACCCUGUUGAGCUUGACUUUAGUAUGUUUUAAUAAAUAUUCGGUAUAUUGUAGAGAGGUGGGAGAAGUAUUGUGAAACCACUAGUAUGUUUGAAUAUUUAUUUAUUAGAAUAUAUGGGGAGUUUGGCUGGGGCGGUACAGCUGUUAAAAAGUAACACAGCUGUCCUAAGGUAGAUGAAUGAUGGAUGGUAACCAUCAGUUUAUUAUAAGGGAAUAAAUCUGCUUUACUUUAUGCAUAUGACUGUAUUUAGUAGGGAAACCUUGGCCUAGCGAUCCCAAUUACAUUCAUUAUGUAUUGGGUGAUUGAAAAGUUACCACAGGGAUAAC